UACGGGGGGGGCAAGCGUUGUUCGGAAUUACUGGGCGUAAAGGGCUCGUAGGCGGCCAACUAAGUCAGACGUGAAAUCCCUCGGCUUAACCGGGGAACUGCGUCUGAUACUGGAUGGCUUGAGAUUGGGAGAGGGAUGCGGAAUUCCAGGUGUAGCGGUGAAAUGCGUAGAUAUCUGGAGGAACACCGGUGGCGAAGGCGGCAUCCUGGACCAACACUGACGCUGAGAAGCGAAAGCAUGGGGAGCGAACAGG
rnacentral:rRNA from 1 species